rnacentral:rRNA from 1 species
CUACGGGGUGCAGCAGUGAGGAAUAUUGCACAAUGGGGGGAACCCUGAUGCAGCAACGCCGCGUGGAGGAUGACGCAUUUCGGUGUGCAAACUCCUUUUAUAUGUCAAGAAAAUGACGGUAGCAUAUGAAUAAGCACCGGCUAACUCCGUGCCAGCAGCCGCGGUAAUACGGAGGGUGCAAGCGUUACUCGGAAUCACUGGGCGUAAAGGACGCGUAGGCGGGUUGGAAAGUCAGGUGUGAAAUCCUACAGCUUAACUGUAGAACUGCACUUGAAACUUCUAAUCUAGAGUAUGGGAGGGGGAGAUGGAAUUAGUGGUGUAGGGGUAAAAUCCGUAGAUAUCACUAGGAAUACCUAAAGCGAAGGCGAUCUCCUGGAACAUUACUGACGCUAAGGCGUGAAAGCGUGGGGAGCAAACAGGAUUAGAUACCCUAGUAGUC